CCUACGGGAGGCAGCAGUGAGGAAUAUUGGUCAAUGGGCGUAAGCCUGAACCAGCCAAGUCGCGUGAGGGAUGAAGGUUCUAUGGAUCGUAAACCUCUUUUAUAAGGGAAUAAAGUGCGGGACGUGUCCUGUUUUGUAUGUCCCUUAUGAAUCAGGAUCGGCUAACUCCGUGCCAGCAGCCGCGGUAAUACGGCGGAUCCGAGCGUUAUCCGGAUUUAUUGGGUUUAAAGGGUGCGUAGGCGGCAUUUUAAGUCAGCGGGGAAAGUCUGUGGCUCAACCAUAGAAUUGCCGUUGAGACUGGGAGGCUUGAGUAUAUUUGAGGCAGGCGGAAGUCGUGGUGUAGCGGUGAAAUGCUUAGAUAUCACGCAGAACCCCGAUUGCGAAGGCAGCCUGCCAAGCCAUGACUGACGCUGAUGCACGAAAGCGUGGGGAUCAAACAGGAUUAGAUACCCUAGUAGUC
rnacentral:rRNA from 1 species